rnacentral:rRNA from 1 species
GUGAUCUAUCCAUGAGCAGGUUGAAAGUGACGUAACAGUUACCGGAGGACCGAACCCACUGUCUUUGAAAAGCCAGGGGAUGACUUGUGGAUAGGGGUGAAAGGCUAAUCAAACUCGGUGAUAGCUGGUUCUCCCCGAAAGCUAUUUAGGUAGCGCCUCGGACGAACACCAUUGGGGGUAGAGCACUGUUUCGGCUAGGGGGUCAUCCCGACUUACCAAACCGAUGCAAACUCCGAAUACCGAUGAGUGAUAUCCGGGAGACAGACGGCGGGUGCUAAGGUCCGUCGUCAAAAGGGAAACAGCCCUGACCUACAGCUAAGGUCCCCAAGUCAUCACUAAGUGGGAAAGCAUGUGGAACUUCCAAAACAACCAGGAGGUUGGCUUAGAAGCAGCCACCCUUUAAAGAAAGCGUAAUAGCUCACUAGUCGAGUCGGCCUGCGCGGAAGAUGUAACGGGGCUCAAACCAUGCACCGAAGCUACGGGUAUCAUCUUAUGAUGAUGCGGUAGAGGAGCGUUCUGUAAGCCUGUGAAGGUGAGUUGAGAAGCUUGCUGGAGGUAUCAGAAGUGCGAAUGCUGACGUGAGUAACGACAAAACGGGUGAAAAACCCGUUCGCUGAAAGACCAAGGGUUCCAGUCCAACGUUAAUCGGGGCUGGGUGAGUCGACCCCUAAGGCGAGGCCGAAAGGCGUAGUCGAUGGGAAUGCAGUGAAUAUUCUGCAGCCAGUGGAUGGUGACGAAUCCAGUAUGUUGUCCGACCUUAAUGGAUUGGUCGGGCCUCGAAUGGGUUCCAGGAAAUAGCCUCCACAUUAGACCGUACCCGAAACCGACACAGGUGGUCAGGUAGAGUAUACCAAGGCGCUUGAGAGAACUAUGCUGAAGGAACUCGGCAAAUUGCACGCGUAACUUCGGAAGAAGCGUGACCCUUUCCUGCGCAAGCAGGGUGAGGGUGGCACAGACCAGGGGGUAGCGACUGUUUAUCAAAAACACAGGGCUCUGCGAAGCCGCAAGGCGACGUAUAGGGUCUGACGCCUGCCCGGUGCUGGAAGGUUAAGAGGAGGGGUGCAAGCUCUGAAUCGAAGCCCCAGUAAACGGCGGCCGUAACUAUAACGGUCCUAAGGUAGCGAAAUUCCUUGUCGGGUAAGUUCCGACCUGCACGAAUGGCGUAACGACUUCCCCGCUGUCUCCAGCAUAGACUCAGUGAAAUUGAAUUCCCCGUGAAGAUGCGGGGUUCCCGCGGUUAGACGGAAAGACCCCGUGCACCUUUACUGCAGCUUCAGAGUGGCAUUAGGAAAGAACUGUGUAGCAUAGGUGGGAGGCUUUGAAGCGUUGGCGCCAGCUGACGUGGAGCCAUAGGUGAAAUACCACCCUGUUGUUUUCUGAUGUCUAACCUCGAUCCAUGAAACUGGAUCAGGGACCCUCUGUGGCGGGUAGUUUGACUGGGGCGGUCGCCUCCCAAAGAGUAACGGAGGCGUGCGAAGGUA